CAAUCUCCAAUUUUACAUGGAAUUGCAAAGGCCUCAAAUGGCCAAAGUCUUAUUGAAAUAGAUCAAAGUUGAAAGACUUACAUGUCCUGUUUUCUAAUUUUGCUACAAAGGUAUAAUGAGCAAAACAGCCUAAUAUAGGCAUAAGCAUUUACAUUAAGAUUACUAAAAUAAAAUUCAGAAUCCUGAAAUCAACCCAUCUGUCUAUGCCCCAUUCAUAGGCUGUUGGAUAAGUAUGUCAAGAACAUUCAGUGGGAGAAAGAAUUCUCUAAGUUUGAUAAGUUAUUAUUCUAAAUGCCAGAAGCACUGGAAGCAGUAACCAAUAAGGAAUUGAGUGUCUUUCUUAGCAGCCUUGUUUGGAACUUCGAAUGUAACAGCACACUGCUCCUGGACUCUAAAAUAGCUAAUGAGAAAGCUGAUAAUCUUGAGGAUACCUUGAACACGUCCAGAUACUUCUUUCUCGUGCUUUUAGAAUUUUCUCUUGUCUUUGGCUUUUGAUAACUGACUAUGAUAUGUCUCAGUGUAGGAAUAUUUGAGUGCAACCUAAUGAAACUCUCAGAUGUUUAUGCCUUUCAUCAAAUUUGGGAAGUGUUCAUUUAUUCUUUCUUCAAAUAUUCAUCUGUAUCAUUGUGUCACUCUUCUCCUCCUCAGACUGCCACGAUGCUUAUGUAGUUUCUAUUUAGUGAUUUCCCAGAGGUCUGAUAGACUCUUUUCAUGUUUCUUCACUUUUCUUUUCUCUCUGCUCUUCAACAGUAUCCAUUAACCUGAUUUCAGUUCUACUAAUAAUAUUUUUCUGUCUGCUCAUAUCUGCUUGAAUUUUAUAAUUGAAUUUUAUAAUUCAAUUCAAUUAUUACACUUUCUGGCUCCAAAAUUUCAUUUUCCACCUCAUUUUAUUUUCAAAUAAUAUAUUAUAUCAUUUCAUGGUGCAUGUGAUUGGACAUCAUUAAAUGACUCCUAUUCUGCGGCUCUUAACCUGGAACUCAGAAACUUUCUCAUAUAUUUGGACAGUCUGCCAAUUUUGAACCUGUUUUAAUCUCAAAUUAUUUCCUAGCUCAGUGAGUUCUUAUACUGUACUGUAUAAGUACUGUAAUGCAACUAAACCAUGGAGGCUGCAUUCCCCACUUUUUGCUACAUAGUGACUGCUGGCUCUUUGGACAGUAGGAGUCAUCAUCUGUAACUGGUGGGGGAUGUCCUCUCAUUCCCCUGCCUCAGCCCUAAUCUCUGAGAAAGAGUAUAGAUUUUCAGGCUUCAGCACAUGGAGACUAUGCCCAUCAUAUCCUAACUUUUGCUUAUGAAAUAGACUUCUUUAAUAUGUCUUUUUCUGUUUCUCUAGGCUAGGAAUGUUAGCAGACUCUUUUCUUUGUAAUCACUAUUUUUCUUUACGAUAUUCUCUAACUUCUCAUAUCUUUUGUCAGCUGGAUAACCAACUCACUGUAAUAAUACACUUCUACUUUAAAUAUUGUUUUAUUUUUCUUGCUUGAUACUGAGUGAUAGAAGCAUUCAAUAAAUGUCACUAAUUGAUAUAAAUCAGACUAUCUGUGUACACUCAUGUUUAUAUUCAGAAAUAUUUAUUAAGUACAGUCUUGGGGCUUAGUAUUAUAUUCUACAUUGAGCAAAAGUAGACACAGUCUCUAUCUUUAUGCAACUCAGUCCAGCAAUCCAACAGAUAAAUAAGAGACACAAAGGAGAGUGUUUGUCAUUAGACUGAAGAAUGUAAGGUGUGGGGUUGAUGGUUAGAUAUAUUUGCAUAAUUGGAUAGAUGUUUGUGCAACUUCUCAAAAGCAAUGUUCCACAAGAACUGGGUUAGGUUAGGUAAGAGAUUUUCCUUUUCUGGUUUUAGGGUCAAACUUAGGCUUUGUGUGUGC
rnacentral:lncRNA from 1 species